rnacentral:lncRNA from 1 species
GUUGGAAAUUACAUCUGUGCAUGAUAUUUCUGUUGUGCUGGUCCCUGAGCUUACCCCAAGCUCUGUUUGUGUUUGUGCUUGUUAUUUAUUAGGAACCAGAGCUGGUCCCAUGGCCGAGCCAGACUCAUCCUGGGAAGCGGCUCCAGGAAGCAUAAAUGCUGGGAAGAGGCGUGCACCAGGAGCCACCCAAGUGUGCUCUACCACACUUUCAAGGGUUCCAUUUUGCUCAACCUUAAAACAAUAUGAUACAUUUUUAUAAAAAGACCUGAUACAAAAAGCUCUAGAAAACGUCAAGAAAAAAAAGUCAACUUUCUACACAAUAGGACAUAGUAUUGCGGGUGUUUCAGCAAGACCCUGCAAGUAUUCACCGCCUGUUGUAUGCAAACUACCAGAUGCUAAAGAGAGGAGUAAAAGCUUCCCAAGUGGCUUGCAAUGAGAAACUCACCACGAAUUUCCGGAGUGGGAGACUGAACAAUAUGAAAGCAUUCCAUGUUAUGACCUAGUUGUGUGUUGCCAACUACACACCAUGUGGGCUCCCUGCUUACCCAUUGUCUCUCCAUCAUGUCUUCUUCUGUCGGUGCGUGUGUGUGUGUUUCCCCUUUUCGGGUUCCCGAGAUUCUAAUUGAGGAGAUUGGAUGUAGAACCAGCAGAAGAAUGUUUGAUGAUUAUGACUUAACAAGAUCAUUUUUUCUGUGCAUUUCUAUUGGAGAACCCCUAGCAUGGGUGUUCACAGGAGAUGGAGAAAGAAGAGCAGUGAGGUCAAGGGAGUUUCUGGAAGAAGAGGUCCUUACAGAAAUCUUAACCAUGAGGUUGCUUGAUGGUGUCCUGACUGAUCAAGCCCGAGGAAGUUCCUCCUCACAUCUGUGCAGCGGGUCUUAAGCGUGGGGACUGAUCAUCCCAUCCUUCCGAAUCCUCAGGCAAGAAAAAUGGGAGCCAACUCACUCAUAAAUUAUAGCAACUCUUUGUCAUUUUGGUCCUUGCCCCUUCUUUUGUCUGGGAUGUUUCUUCCCUAAAUAUUGUUACGGUUCUGUCGCUCACACCCUUCGAAUAUCUACCCAGAUUUCAGAAAGGGCUUCCCCAGCUACCCUGCAAUGAAAGCACCCUUCACUGAUCGUCUUCCUUACCCUAACUUCUUCCUGUUUUUCUUUAGCCUGCUCACGUGGAUUCUAGAAAGCUAAUGUCCUCUGAUGCUGCUGAAGUCAUAAUUCACCCACCAUCCAUUCCUCGCAUCAGUGCUUUCUGAGCACCUGCUAUGUGUCAGGGACUGUGCUAUGUUGGAUUGGUAAAGGGAGGAACACGGGAGACAUCUGCCAUCAUUCUAGUCUAGGCACAACUAACAAAGUAGUGAAUGAGUCCAUCCGGUCAUCUCACCAUGGAAACAGGG